UACGAAGGGGGCUAGCGUUGUUCGGAUUUACUGGGCGUAAAGCGCACGUAGGCGGAUUGUUAAGUGAGGGGUGAAAUCCCAGGGCUCAACCCUGGAACUGCCUUUCAUACUGGCAAUCUCGAGUCCGGAAGAGGUGAGUGGAACUCCUAGUGUAGAGGUGGAAUUCGUAGAUAUUAGGAAGAACACCAGUGGCGAAGGCGGCUCACUGGUCCGGUACUGACGCUGAGGUGCGAAGGCCUGGGUAGCAAACAGG
rnacentral:rRNA from 1 species